UCCCUGAUGGUCCAGAGGUUAAGACUCUGUGCUUCCACUGCAGGGGUGUGAGUUCAAUCCCUGGUCAGGGAA
rnacentral:tRNA from 1 species